UCCCUGGUGGUCCAGUGGUGAGGACUCCACACUUUCACUGCUGAGAGCAGGAGUUCAAUCCCUGGUCAGGGAA
rnacentral:tRNA from 1 species